rnacentral:rRNA from 1 species
GAAGGCUGGAAUGAACGGCUGGACGAAGGACAAACUGUUUCUUACUUAUUAUUUGAAUUUAACCUUUAAGUGAAAAGGCUUAAAUAGCACAGGAGGACGAUAAGACCCUAUAAAUCUUAACGUUAAUUUAAAAUCUUAAGGAGAGCUAGAUGGUUAUUUUUUUUAUUAGAUUUAAUUACGUUUUGUUGGGGCGACAUAAAUAGAAAGUAAUCUGUUUAACAGUAUUACACAAAUAGGUGAGUAUAUAAAUUAAGAUCCUUAUUAUAGAAUAUAAGAUAAAGUUACUUUAGGGAUAACAGCGUUAUUUUACUUGAGAGUUCCUAUCAAAAGUAAAGUUUGCGACCUCGAUGUUGAAUUAAAUAUUCCUUGUGGUGCA